rnacentral:rRNA from 1 species
AAUGAACGCUGGCGGCGUGCCUAACACAUGCAAGUCGAGCGAACAGACGAGGAGUUUUCUCCUCUGACGUUAGCGGCGGACGGGUGAUUCACACGUGGAUAACCUACCUAUAGGAAUGGGGUACCUACACGAAACCGGAGCUAAUAUCGGAUAAUAUAUUGAACCGGAUGGUUCAAUAGUGAAAGUGGGUUUUGCUGUGACUUAUAGAUGGAUCCGCGCCGCAUUAGCUAGUUGGUAAGGUAACGGCUUACCAAGGCGACGAUGGGUAGCCGACCUGAGAGGGUGAACAGCCACACUGGAACUGAGACACGGUCCAGACUCCUACGGGAGGCAGCAGUAGGGAAUCUUCCGCAAUGGGCGAAAGCCUGACGGAGCAACGCCGCGUGAGUGAUGAAGGUCUUCGGAUCGUAAAACUCUGUAAGUAGGGAAGAAGAAAAGUGUAUUUAACUAUGCACGUCUUGACGGUACCAAAACAAAAAGCCCCGGCUAACUUCGUG